rnacentral:rRNA from 1 species
AACGAACGCUGGCGGCAGGCCUAACACAUGCAAGUCGAACGCCCUAGCAAUAGGGAGUGGCGCACGGGUGAGUAACGCGUGGGAACGUGCCUUUCAGUCUGGAAUAACUGCGGGAAACUGCAGCUAAUACCGGAUAUUCUCUACGGAGGAAAGAUUUAUCGCUGAAAGAUCGGCCCGCGUUAGAUUAGGUAGUUGGUGGGGUAAUGGCCUACCAAGCCUACGAUCUAUAGCUGGUCUGAGAGGAUGAUCAGCCACACUGGAACUGAGACACGGUCCAGACUCCUACGGGAGGCAGCAGUGGGGAAUAUUGGACAAUGGGCGCAAGCCUGAUCCAGCCAUGCCGCGUGAGUGACGAAGGCCUUAGGGUUGUAAAGCUCUUUUGUCAGGGAAGAUAAUGACGGUACCUGAAGAAUAAGACACGGCUAACUUCGUGCCAGCCGCCGCAGUAA